rnacentral:rRNA from 1 species
AAUGAACGUUGGCGGCGUGGAUUAGGCAUGCAAGUCGUACGAGAAUCGUAGCAAUACGAGGAAAGUGGCGGAAGGGAGAGGAUUACGUGGGAAUCUACCCUCAGAACUGGGAUAGCGACGGGAAACUGCCGGUAAUACCAGAUAAUGUCUGUGGACCAAAGGUGUGAUUCCGUCUGGGGAUGAGCCCACGUCCUAUUAGCUAGUUGGCAGGGUAAUGGCCUACCAAGGCAAUGAUGGGUAGCGGGUGUGAGAGCAUGACCCGCCUCACUGGGACUGAGAACUGCCCAGACACCUACGGGUGGCUGCAGUCGAGAAUCUUCGGCAAUGAGCGCAAGCUUGACCGAGCGACGCCGCGUGCGGGAUGAAGGCCUUCGGGUUGUAAACCGCUGUCGUAGGGGAGCAAGAGAUGAGGGUACUCCCUCUGAUUUGAGCGAUCCUAGGAGGAAGGACGGGCUAAGUUCGUGCCAGCCGCCGCUGUAAGAC